UCCCAUCAAAGCCUCCUCUCUUUCCCAUAGAGAAAUUUCCCUUUCUCUCUCUCUCUCUCAUGAUCUAAUGGAUAGAAAGGAGAUCAUCCCUUUUAACCUCAACAAGAUCCCACCGAAGGAAGAUGCACUGGCCAUCGUCCUUGUUCCAAAGACACUACCCCUCGCUGUCUUCCCUCCAAAGCCAUUGACUACAGUGCCACCAAGUCGGAGCUAUGAGCAAGCAUACUUCACUCAAGCUUGUCAUCCGCCGCUUCCACUGCUACAUGAGCAACUACUUCUUGAAGAUGCACCGAAGAGCUCGAAGAUCAUCAUACCACAAGACACCAAGUUGCUUCCUCCUAAGCCUUAAGAACAACUUGUUGGUGUGAAGACUAACAAGUUUGGAGAGGUCAUCUGUGCAAUGUAUACCAUUGCUUCCCGAGUUACUCUUGAAGCGAUUCGUGCUUCGCCGAGUCAGAUCAAGUUCAUACCUCCAAGAGAAGCUCCCAAGAGAUCUGCACCACUGGUGGAAAGAGAUGCAAGGCACUAAAGUCGAUGCCCUCUCCAAAUUAGUCUCAUCCAUUAAGGAGAAUAACACCCUCCUUAAUAAUAAUUUACGCGUCACGAGUAGGCUAGCGGAGGUGAAUAUGGCUAAAAUCAAGAAGCUUAAGGAGGACAAAGGCACUCAUUAGUGAGAUUGCCCAGCUUUCCAAAAGAGAUGGAAAGUGAUUAGUUAUCUUAGUAAUAACGCAUAGUUAUGUUAGGUCAAAGUUUUUAGGUUUGUACCCUAAGUGUUAGGUUCAGUUCUAAUGGCUGAAGCGGCAGCCCCUUGGAGGCAUCAGUAGUCUCUGCAAUGGACAUUCAAAGUCCAAUCUUCCUAACAGACAAUCAACAGUUGGUGUCUUGGUGACUUUCUUCAAUGGACCUGAUCACUCAUCGCCUCCUCUCUGGGACAUCAAACAUUACACUUAGAGAUUCAUCAACUACAAUACAGCAAACAACUACAAGAUCUUCAAAAUAGCAAGAAAUCAAAACUCCACGGCGUACCUGCUAGCUAAUCAAGCUUGUCAUUCUUCAUCUUUGUAUCCUAAUACUAUAUGUCCAUAACCUGUUCAAAUCAGGCUCAUGUAACCAGAUGCCCCUUAAGGGAGGCUCUGACUUCUGUAUCUUGGAAGUGUCUUUCCCUCAAAGUAGCUUCUUGG
rnacentral:lncRNA from 1 species